AGGACUCGAUGAUGGAGGGAGCACAAUUAAGCUCUAGAGUUAGCUCAGGCUCGCCCUAGGAACCGAGGGAUGGGAGGGAACCUAGACGAUCUCUCAGAUCCUUGGGCCCCUUCCCCGCGGAGGCCACAUCUCCCUGGCCAGCUCCCCCUGGCGGCAGCACCCUGCGACGCUGGCAGGCCUUGACCUGAUUAGGACCGGCGAGCCUGCGACCAAUCGGCCUUCCUCCGCCUCUCGGCGCGCCGCUGCGCAGCCAAUGAGCGCCGUCUCCCUGGCCGCUCCUCCCGCGCCAGAUCCAGAUUUGUCAACCGCGGAGAAACAAGGUCUAUUUCGGGAAGGGACUGCAGCGGCCGCGGUCCGCAGCUGCAAGAGCCCAGGAACCCCAGGCUACGUGAUUAAAAUUUCAGACCUCGGCACAAGCGCUUUGACCGUGAGGGGGUGUUGUGACGGUAUCCCUCAUAAAAUCAAGCAGAAUCCUGGUACGUUAACCAAACAGAAGCAAAGCUUUUCCUACCGGACAGGAGAGAGAGCAUCCCAGAGUCCUGACCCUACGCAAGCCCCUGAGUCACCUCCUCUGAAAUAGUUUAGUACAUAGAAAUAUGGUUUAUCCGGGUCGUGAAAAUUAAACGCACGUAUUUGUUAACACUAAACCUAAAAUUUGUAACACUAAAUCUAAAGAUCUAGAUGUCUUCUGUCUGGCUCUUCAAUUCCUCGUCCGUGACAUCCAUCUCAGGGCGUGGAAGACUGACCUGCGUAAACUGCCCUCGUUCAUCUCUGCUUUCCACGGGGUUCCAUCCAUGAAUGGCAAAGGCAGAGCACAAGGAGUGGACCAUUGUCACCAAGAAAAUUCUAUAAGAUACCACAUCCACCCACCAUCACUACAACUGUUGACCCUGUCAAGAUAAGUCAAUAGUAACCUUUUUUUUUCCUAAGAAUGCAUAUUGCUAUGUAGUAGAUAAGACUGUUUCCGAUGGGAACAGACAAGAGCCUCAAGCUAUGGAGCACCUGACUUCUGCCUUGUAUCCACAGACCAA